GCCGCUUUAGCUCAGCUGGUAGAGCGCCCGCCUUGUAAGCGGAAGGUCGUCUGUUCGAGUCAGACAAGCGGCACCA
rnacentral:tRNA from 1 species